rnacentral:rRNA from 1 species
GAUGAACGCUAGCGGCAGGCCUAAUACAUGCAAGUCGAACGAGAUUAAGAGGCUUGCUUCUUAUGAAAGUGGCGCACGGGUGCGUAACGCGUAUGCAACCUACCUUAAUCAGGGGGAUAGCCCGAAGAAAUUCGGAUUAAGACCGCAUAAAAACACAGGAUAGCAUUAUCCAAUGUUCAAAUAUUUAUAGGAUUAAGAUGGGCAUGCGUGUCAUUAGCUAGUUGGCGGGGUAACGGCCCACCAAGGCGACGAUGACUAGGGGAUCUGAGAGGAUGACCCCCCACACUGGUACUGAGACACGGACCAGACUCCUACGGGAGGCAGCAGUAAGGAAUAUUGGUCAAUGGAGGGAACUCUGAACCAGCCAUGCCGCGUGCAGGAAGACAGCCCUCUGGGUCGUAAACUGCUUUUAUUCGGGAAUAAACCUUUCUACGUGUAGGAAGCUGAAUGUACCGAAGGAAUAAGGAUCAGCUAACUCCGUG